AUUGAAAGUAAAUGCGUCGAAAAUAGUAACAAAAUUCCCAUUAAACGUCUUAAUUUACAAGAAAAAUUGAAAUAAUGAAGUUAUUUGAUGAUGGUGCUCUAAAUAGCAGACAAGUUGCUAAAUAAUUCAACAGAAGACAACCGCAACGAAAUCGUAUUCGACAUGAAACGGCAUCCUCCGUGAUUGAACUUUCUACUGGAAUUCCUAUCUAUAAAACAGAACGAUCAACCAACCAGGGAAUAUCAUAAUUCACUUCCAUGACAGAGACUGUAUUAAUACAACAAACUGCAAUUGUGCUCCUAUAGAAAGAACAACAAUGAUUAAGUAUCUGUCAGUCAUCAUGGAUCAGCAGAUGUUGUAAAACUCUUAACUAAAAAAUUCUAUGAAUUGAGAAAUAUUCUGAAAUACAAAAAUUUGAUCACCAUA